rnacentral:rRNA from 1 species
UACGAGAGGCCCAAACGUUAUUCGGAAUUACUGGGCUUAAAGAGUUCGUAGGCGGUAUGAAAAGUAGGGUGUGAAAGCCCUCGGCUCAACCGAGGAAUUGCGCUCUAAACUGUCGUACUCGAGGAACCUAGAGGUGAGCAGAACAGAUGGUGGAGCGGUGAAAUGCGUUGAUAUCAUCUGGAAUACCGGAGGCGAAGGCAGGUUACUACUAAUGGAUUGACGCUGAUGGACGAAAGCGUGGGGAGCGAACAGG